CCUACGGGUGGCAGCAGUGAGGAAUAUUGGUCAAUGGACGCAAGCCUGAACCAGCCAUGUCGCGUGCAGGAAGACUGCCCUAUGAGUUGUAAACUUCUUUUGUACGAGGGUAAACUCAGACACGCGUACCUGUCUGAAUGUACUUUACGAAUAAGGAUCGGCUAACUCCGUGCCAGCAGCCGCGGUAAUACGGAGGAUUCAAGCGUUAUCCGGAUUUAUUGGGUUUAAAGGGUGCGUAGGUGGUUGGAUAAGUUAGUUGUGAAAUUCUGAGGCUCAACCUUGAAAUUGCAAUUGAUACUGGCCGGCUAGAGUGUAGUUGCGGUAGGCGGAAUGCAUGGUGUAGCGGUGAAAUGCUUAGAGAUCACACAGAACACCGAUUGCGAAGGCAGCUUACCAAGCUACUUCUGACAUUGAGGCACGAAAGCGUGGGGAGCAAACAGGAUUAGAUACCCCGGUAGUC
rnacentral:rRNA from 1 species